UUCAGACUCGAGAGUGGUAGAGGGAGGGUGGAAUUUCCGCGUGUAGUGGUGAAAUGCGUAGAUAUGCGGAAGGAACACCAGUGGCGAAAGCGGCUCUGGCUCAAUUUCUGACGUCAGAACACGAAAGCUAAGGUAGCAAACGGGAUUAGAAGACCCCGGUAGUCUAGCUGUAAACGAUGUGAACUUAGUGUCGGUGGGGUUAAAUCCAUCGGUACUGAAGCAAACGCGAUAAGUUCACCGCCUGGGGACUACGGCCGCAAGGUUAAAACUCAAAGGAAUUGACGGGGCCCCGCACAAGCAGCGGAGCGUGUGGUUUAAUUCGAUGUUACACGAAGAACCUUACCAAGGUUUGACAUGCAAGUGGUAGGAAGCCGAAAGGCCUACGACCCUUCGGGGAGCUUGCACAGGUGCUGCAUGGCUGUCGUCAGCUCGUGUCGUGAGAUGUUCGGUUAAGUCCGCUAACGAGCGCAACCCUCGCUGUGUGUUAUACGUGUCACAUGGGACUGCCGGUCUUAAGCCGGAGGAAGGUGGGGAUGACGUCAAGUCAGCAUGGCCUUUAUAUCUUGGGCUACACACACGCUACAAUGGCCAACACAAUAGGUUGCUAAGCCGCGAGGUGGAGCCAAUCCUCAAAGUUGGUCUCAGUUCAGAUUGUAGGCUGCAACUCGCCUGCAUGAAGACGGAGUUGCUAGUAACCGCAGGUCAGCUAUACUGCGGUGAAUACGUUCCCGGGGCUUGUACACACCGCCCGU
rnacentral:rRNA from 1 species